rnacentral:rRNA from 1 species
AGAGUUUGAUCCUGGCUCAGGAUGAACGCUGGCGGCGUGCCUAAUACAUGCAAGUCGAACGCUUUGUGGUUCAACUGAUUUGAAGAGCUUGCUCAGAUAUGACGAUGGACAUUGCAAAGAGUGGCGAACGGGUGAGUAACACGUGGGAAACCUACCUCUUAGCAGGGGAUAACAUUUGGAAACAGAUGCUAAUACCGUAUAACAAUGACAACCGCAUGGUUGUUAUUUAAAAGAUGGUUCUGCUAUCACUAAGAGAUGGUCCCGCGGUGCAUUAGCUAGUUGGUAAGGUAAUGGCUUACCAAGGCGAUGAUGCAUAGCCGAGUUGAGAGACUGAUCGGCCACAAUGGGACUGAGACACGGCCCAUACUCCUACGGGAGGCAGCAGUAGGGAAUCUUCCACAAUGGGCGAAAGCCUGAUGGAGCAACGCCGCGUGUGUGAUGAAGGGUUUCGGCUCGUAAAACACUGUUGUAAGAGAAGAAUGACAUUGAGAGUAACUGUUCAAUGUGUGACGGUAUCUUACCAGAAAGGAACGGCUAAAUACGUGCCAGCAGCCGCGGUAAUACGUAUGUUCCAAGCGUUAUCCGGAUUUAUUGGGCGUAAAGCGAGCGCAGACGGUUAUUUAAGUCUGAAGUGAAAGCCCUCAGCUCAACUGAGGAAUUGCUUUGGAAACUGGAUGACUUGAGUGCAGUAGAGGAAAGUGGAACUCCAUGUGUAGCGGUGAAAUGCGUAGAUAUAUGGAAGAACACCAGUGGCGAAAGGCGGCUUUCUGGACUGUAACUGACGUUGAGGCUCGAAAGGGUGGGUAGCAAACUGGAUUAGAUUACCCUGGUAGUCCACCACGGUAAACGAUGAGUGGCGAGGUGUUUGAGGGUUUCCGCCCUUAAGUGCCGCAGCUAACGCAUUAAGCACUCCGCCUGGGGAGUACGACCGCAAGGUUGAAACUCAAAGGAAUUGACGGGGACCCGCACAAGCGGUGGAGCAUGUGGUUUAAUUUGAAGCAACGCGAAGACCCUUACCAGGUCUUGACAUCCCUUGACAACUCCAAAGAUGGAGCGUUCCCUUCGGGGACAAGGUGACAGGUGGUGCAUGGUUGUCGUCAGCUCGUGUCGUGAGAUGUUGGGUUAAGUCCCGCAACGAGCGCAACCCUUAUUACUAGUUGCCAGCAUUCAGUUGGGCACUCUAGUAAGACUGCCGGUGACAAACCGGAGGAAGGUGGGGAUGACGUCAAAUCAUCAUGCCCCUUAUGACCUGGGCUACACACGUGCUACAAUGGCGUAUACAACGAGUUGCCAACCCGCGAGGGUGAGCUAAUCUCUUAAAGUACGUCUCAGUUCGGAUUGUAGGCUGCAACUCGCCUACAUGAAGUCGGAAUCGCUAGUAAUCGCGGAUCAGCACGCCGCGGCGAAUACGUUCCCGGGUCUUGCACACACCGCCCGUCA